rnacentral:misc_RNA from 1 species
AAGUCAUAACAAGGUUUCCGUAGGUGAACCUGCGGAAGGAUCAUUAGUGAAUCGACCUCACGGUCUAACACAUUAUCCACACACACCUGUGAACUGUUUUUGAAUGCUCUGUGAAUGGACGAAAGUCUGGAAGCGAGUGUUUGAUCUAUUACAAACUUUUUUUGUUUUGAAUGUAUAAACAUAUAACAAAAACAAAACUUUCAACAACGGAUCUCUUGGCUCUC